rnacentral:misc_RNA from 1 species
GUGAAUCAUCAAAUUUUUGAACGCAUAUUGCACUCUCUGGUAUUCCGGAGAGUAUGCCUGUUUGAGGGUAAUUAAAAAGAAUCUUUAACCAAUUUUGUUCGGGCAAAGGAAAUGAAUUCUCCGCGUUUAUAGCGGAAGCUUGUAAUAAAUAGUCAAGUAUCAUUUUAGUCGGGACGCAUAA